GCCACAUGAUGUCAAAAACAGACUCCAUGAGCCCUCUGUGGCAAAGAUGACACAGAUCUAUCACCCAAGACUGAUGGCU
rnacentral:snoRNA from 1 species